UGCACAACAACCGUGGCCUUGUGUUGGAGGAAACAUACGCAAGCGAAGAAAGCAAAUCUCUUUCAGUUCAGUUUCUGUCCAUGAAGAACGUUGCAAAACAGAGUUUAUCUUCGUUUGAUGAUUUGCAAACCUUGCCACCAAUGCGAGGAGAAGCAGACAAUGUACAUCCUUCUGCUGGUAAGGUUGCCCAAACAUUGAGAGCGGGACAAAUUGUAACAGGCACAGGAAAGGGAAGAGGAAGAGGAAGAGGAAGAGGUGUUGAAGCAACAGACGUAGGGGAUAUGCAUUCGUGCAACGAUAGCAAAAUAAGUACUUGACUUACUGCCGAAAAAUUCCCAAGUCGCCACAUCACUUCACCUUUUGUAUGUUUCAUUACCAAUUGAUGCCGACAGCAUUACUGAUCAUAAUAGAACCAUUAUUUGUGUUGUAUUUUAAUAUUUGUCAUUCUAGUGCAAGUUUGCAGUAACAAAUGUUGUACAAUUGUCUUACAGAUUUCGGACAAACUCCUGUCUAAACUGCACAGGUUGGACAAGCGGUUCCGUUCAGAGAAGGACUUGAUAACAAUGGAGAGCAGAGAGGUUUUAUCAGCGGCCCAAGACUAAGUUGUUGACUCUGUACUUGACGACAGAAACAAUGAAAGGGACAUUGUCGUGUCUAUGAAUCUGCAUGAAAUGCCUUGCGAAUGUGCUACGCGACGUGACAUGCGCACGCUGAAACCAGGGGCAUGGCUAUCCGACACUCCAAUCAACUUGGUCGCGGUUCAAUUGACUAACAGACAGCGGCAAGUACACAAAGACGGAAGGCAUACUGCGCGGUUCUUUCCAGUAUAUUUGUCGGUAAGUAAGUGUUUUAGGUCGGUUGUGUAUUGCAGAAGACAUAUUUUCAGAAAACUUUGGCUGACUGAACUUUACACACUAAACAUGCAAACUUUGAUACUAAAUCAAAAAA